GCCGGUGCACGCUCGCUUGCCUUGCGCUGCGACUAUCGUGUGGCCGGCGACAUGUUUAAUAUUUUAAUAGAUAUUUCUGUCGUUUAAUAUCUUUAAUAUGUAAUGAGUAGUGUUUUAAAUCCCAAUUGGGGAGCCAGAUUACGGCUGGUAACUCAGCCUGAAGCCAUAUUACGGCUGAAACUACAGCCCAGGCCGGGUUACGACGGUUCCGGAACCUCUUCACAGGUUCCGGCAGAUCCGGAGCGGAGCGGCUGACGUCCCUCGGCGCGUUCCGUCUUCAGCCCACAACGACACCAGCAUCUUCAGGGGAGCACUUGCGUGGUGGACCUGACCUCGGAGCAAAAUCAGUAUCGGCCUUACGAACCCACACCUAACGACCUUUGUUCGUGUGCUCACGCGGAGUUACGGCGAGAAUAAACCAGUUCUUUAUUUUAA